AGGACGACCAUCCAGAUGCAGCCUCCAAUCGUCAGAACUAUCAUGACAUAGCAGGCCUUAACACGCAGUCGGUUCCUGGCUGCAUCAAUCAUCUCAAAUCUGAAAAUCAGAUUUGUAACAGAAACGUUGAGGGCUGUUCCAGGUUGAAAAUAUGGUAGCGUUUAAGAUUGGGAAACCACGCCUCCUUCACUGUGACUGACAGGCACCAGGGCAACGCCUCCUCCACUGACACUGACAGGCAUCUUUUCUUGUCAUAUGAACAUCUCCAGCUCUCCAUAUGAGCCACAUCUGUUCUUUGAUCUCUUCCCGGAUAGCACGAAUUACACCAAUUAACUUUACACACGGGGAAGUGACUUUGAGAACAAAUGUCACAUGACUUCAUAAACACACUGUUUUAUCUGGCUACGGAAAAGGACGUGGCCACUUACGACACGAGCUCUGGGAUCUGCUCCUUGGAUUUGAAGCGUCCGGACCACACAAGAAUCUUCUUGUCCAUCUCGGACGGACUGUAGCCGGGCGUUUUGAACCCUGCUGUUUGUGCAAGAGAAUAAAAAAUAAAUGGAAAAAAAGUCAUUUCAAAUGUAAUUUAAGACCACCUUUGUAGUGCUGUACAAAAUAUGUAUAGAAAAUAUACAUGCAUAAACAUUUUACCUAUACAAUGCCCUCCACUAAUACUGAAAUUCUUGGUAAUUAUGAGCAAAGAAGGCUGUGAAAAAUUGUCUAUUUUGAUAUUUUCCUUUGAUCUUUUGGUUGAACAAUUUCCUGUUCCUAGUCAUCCAGGUGUAGUUAAAAAAAAAAAAGAGUCAUAUCAAUGGCAAUAUACUUCAAUAUAUUAUUCUCAUAUGAAUUUAUAGGGGUGCCAAUAAUUGUUGGGGCAUGGCAUGGAGGCGAUCAGCCUGUGGCACUGCUGAGGUGUUCUGGAAGCUCAGGUUGCUUUGAUAGCGGCCUUCAGCUCGUCUGUAUUGUUGGGUCUGUUGUCUCUCAUAGAUUCUCUAUGGGGUUCGGGUCAGGCGAGUCGGCUGGCCAAUCAAGCACAGUAAUACCAUGGUCAGCAAACCAGUUACUAGUAGUUUUGGCACUGUGGGCAGG